rnacentral:rRNA from 1 species
GAUGAACGCUGGCGGCGUGCCUAAUACAUGCAAGUCGAGCGAACGGACGAGAAGCUUGCUUCUCUGAUGUUAGCGGCGGACGGGUGAGUAACACGUGGAUAACCUACCUAUAAGACUGGGAUAACUUCGGGAAACCGUAGCUAAUACCGGAUAAUAUUUUGAACCGCAUGGUUCAAAAGUGAAAGACGGUCUUGCUGUCACUUAUAGAUGGAUCCGCGCUGCAUUAGCUAGUUGGUAAGGUAACGGCUUACCAAGGCAACGAUGCAUAGCCGACCUGAGAGGGUGGUCGGCCACACUGGAACUGAGACACGGUCCAGACUCCUGAGGGAGGCAGCAGUAGGGAAUCUUCCGCAAUGGGCGAAAGCCUGACGGAGCAACGCCGCGUGAGUGAUGAAAGUCUUCGGAUCGUAAAACUCUGUUAUUAGGGAAGAACAUAUGUGUAAGUAACUGUGCACAUCUUGACGGUACCUAAUCAGAAAGCCACGGCUAACUACGUG